AGUGAACGCUGGCGGUAGGCCUAACACAUGCAAGUCGAACGGCAGCACAGGAGAGCUUGCUCUCUGGGUGGCGAGUGGCGGACGGGUGAGGAAUACAUCGGAAUCUACUCUUUCGUGGGGGAUAACGUAGGGAAACUUACGCUAAUACCGCAUACGACCUACGGGUGAAAGCAGGGGAUCUUCGGACCUUGCGCGAUUGAAUGAGCCGAUGUCGGAUUAGCUAGUUGGCGGGGUAAAGGCCGACCAAGUCGACGAUCCGUAGCCGGUCUGAGAGGAUGAGCAGCCACACUGGAACUGAGACACGGUCCAGACUCAUACGGGAGGCAGCAGUGGGGAAUAUUGGACAAUGGGAGCAAGCCUGAUCCAGCCAUACCGCGUGGGUGAAGAAGGCCGUCGGGUUGUAAAGCCCUUUUGUUGGGAAAGAAAUCCAGCUGGUUAAUACCCGGUUGGGAUGACGGCACCCAAAGAAUAAGCACCGGCUAACUUCGUGCCAGCCGCCGCCGUAA
rnacentral:rRNA from 1 species